CUGGAAGACACUUGCAGGGCUUCGCGGUGAAGGCGGCCUCCAGACAAGCUCCAGCAUUGGGCGAAAGCUGUUGAUGAGGCUCUUCAGGGGGAUGAGACUGCCAGUGGUGCCGCGCACAGACUGGUCUGAAUAAAGAAUUUCAUAUCUCUUUGUUUCAUUAUCAUUAAAAGAAGACAUAAGUGAAAGGCUUUCAGUGGGAGUGGUAUAAUGAAGACAGAGAAAUGUGACAGAGGUGAAUAAAAGAGCACCCUGGAGAAAAAGAAGAAUCUAAGCUGUCAAGGAGGAGGGAAAGCCAUGGCCUACACACACAACAAAUUGACGAUUCUGCCACUUUCAUUACCUUUUAUUGCACUCACCUUCCAUUAUCCUCUUUCUUCUUACUAUUAUAGACUUAUUUUCUCCACCAUAAGACACUAGAGCUUUGGAUCAAGUAAAAUAUCGCCUUCAGUUCUUAUAAACACUAUCCUUAGUAUAACUACAAAUAAGCAUAAAUCAGUAGUAAGUAAAUGUAUAACUAAAUAAAUUCACAAAUAGACAACCAAAUGGAAAAUGUAUAUGUAUAAAGAUAUAGAUGAUAUACAUAUAUAGAUGUCACAUUAUGAAUUGAUAUAUUCUUACUUCUUUUGAGUGCUCCUCAGUAGUCAGUGACGACCUUGCCUCCCUUUAACUUCUUCUAAAGAUCCUCAUCUGCUAAUCCAAUUUUUUAAAUUAAUUUUACAAUCCUAACAUCAUGAGCAUAUUCUCAGCUCGUCCUGUUUUAAUUUUCCAAGGGAAAUUUGAUAAUUUACAGAAGAUCAAUAACGAUAAGCAAAACUUGCAUUAGUUCCUUUUCUUGACAUACAAUUCCAUUUUAAUUUUCAACUACCCAA